UACGUAGGGUGCGAGCGUUGUCCGGAAUUAUUGGGCGUAAAGAGCGCGUAGGCGGUCCGAUAAGUCGGCUGUGAAAGUCAGGGGCUCAACCCUUGAAAGCCGGCCGAUACUGUCGGACUAGAGUCCGGAAGAGGCAAGUGGAAUUCCCGGUGUAGCGGUGAAAUGCGCAGAUAUCGGGAGGAACACCCGUGGCGAAGGCGGCUCUCUGGGACGUGACUGACGCUGAGACGCGAAAGCGUGGGGAGCGAACAGG
rnacentral:rRNA from 1 species